GGAGAGACUCGUGGGCACCACACUUGGCCGCGGCCCCGGGGCGCGCGGGGCCCCGUCCUGCUGGUGCGCGGGGCUCUGGAGCCAGAAAGUGUACACAGACCAUAAAUCUCCUGCCCCGCCCGGCGCCGGGCCCCUCGCUCCGGCCCUGGGAGCUGCGGCCGGCUGCAAAGCGCUGCUGGGACCCGCCGCAGCUCCAGGCCGGUCGCAUCCGUCCCGCCGCUGCAGGGGCACCCCCGGCAGCCUGGGGACUCGGGUCACAGGCUCCCCGGCAGCGGCGGGGGAGGAGGAGGAGGAGGAGGAGGAAGAGGAGGAGGAGGAGGCGGGGAGAGGGGGCGGAGCGGGAAGCAGGCGAGGCCUGUAGGGAUGCGCACAUCGGGAGGCCAGGUGAGGAUGGAAAGAGAAAGGAGCGAUUAGGAGCACAAGGGAGGGGGGGGAGCCUCUGAGCCUUCUAGAACCCUCAGAUCUUUCCACGUUGGGGUGGAGGAGGACAGCAAGUGUUCGCGGCCACCAUUCCCUUACAGAUGUGUUUGUAGCGAGCUCUCCCCGCCUUCGCUCGUCAACCUUGUGCACCAGCCAGGGCGCACCGGGAAUGCGCUCUCCCUGGGGGUGCAGCCAGAGGAUUCUCCGUGGAUGUCUCUGUGGGGGUGUCUCCUCUCACAACGUUAAGUGGAUAUCUGAAAUAAGGAAUGGAGUGAUUCACAAAGAGAGAGAGAGAGAGAGAGAGAGCAGAGCUGUUCUUCAAACUUUGAUCUUUUCUUUGAAGAGGGAGAGUCGGGGAAACCCACCAGUUCAGGAUUGGGACCAGAGACCCCAGGGCUUGGGGGGUCAGAGGCUUGGCCACGCCCCUUGCCAGCCAGUACCCGGAUCCGAUUACCCCACCCCGCUGCUCCUGCGACUGUACGUCUGGAAAAAUGGGAUCUUCGCGCCCCGGGUGCAGGGAAGGUUAAAUGAGAUACAGGAUUUUCGAUUCUUGCUUUCAAAGUGGGAAGGGACUGAGUUUGUUUCCUCCGUUUUCCCUUGCACGCCUCCCCCACCCCGCCCCCAGCUUGGGUGCUUUCCAAGCAAAGACGCGUCCGGGACGGAAGAAAUUAGCGAGGUAAUGGUGGUAAUAGUGGUGACAGUUAAACAAUUCUCGCUUAGUGAGCGCCUUCUGUUUGCCAGGGUGCGCGUGCCCCAGACCGUGCCUGCGCCCGUGCUGUGCGCGGUAUCAGGUCCCCCAACCUCUGCAGACCGGAGGCUGAGCUGCCUGCAGGUUGCUGCGCAAACCCACCGGGACGCAAAAGGCAAGGCUUGGUGGGAGAGCUGGAGAGGACUCAGAAGGCAGCCACGGGUUUCCUCUCAACCAUUCCUCUGCGAUGGGAAAACCCAAAGAGGGGGAAAGAGCACGAAACUGCACUCUGAAAGAGAGAAGUCAACAGAGGAGGCAGCGACCUUGCAGGAGACGAGAACAAAGGGAUUUGGCUUAGAUCACCCGCGAAGGACCCCAGGCACCUUAUGGGACGAUUUUUCUGGGUGCUGCGCACCUGCGGGGGGGCUGAUGUCGGGAUCAACCAGAGCGAGGUCGCGACCUGCGGGCCCUCGCUGACCUUGGAUUGGGCUCUGGGCCACCCGCUGGGGAUCCGAGAAGACGGAGGACUCGGGACCCUCCACCACCCAAAGGAGCGGUGAACAGGGUGAGGGGUGGGCGUCCCCCUAAAGGCUUGAGGCUUCAAGCACGGCCUGAGCUGGGAGCCCAGAGCCCAGCCACACCGAGUCUCAGGGACGCUUCUUUGGAGCGCAAGCACGGCCUGUGAGUCUCUCCAUAGACGGAUCCAGAAAAUGGCCAGAUGAUCAACAGAUGCCUGUGGGGAUUGCGAGAUAAGGAAUCCUACUCGGUCAUUAAGUCAUUCGUUCCUUCGUUCAUUCAUUGUUUGGCUCUUUUCUUGAGCUCGUCUCACGUGCUGUGAAGUGCGGGGUGCACUCUUCACCCCAUUCCGACAAACAAAAAUAAACAGCCCUGAUGAAUCAAAGAAUCAAAGCCCUGCUGAAAUUUGCUGACCCUGAAAUCACGGGAGGCGAGUGGGGGUGGGAGGCAAGGGUAGCUCGGGAACUCGGCAAAACUACCCAAGGCUUUUGUGCAGCAGAGAAGGCAAGGUGCGGACUCAGCAGCCAGCUCCCCACUGUCCCCUGUGCCGAGAUACCCUCAUGCUGAUCUUAACACCCCAAGCCGGUCAUCAGGGAAGCACAGGAAGUUUCUGGCUGCUUUUCUGGUCCUUACGUCGACUGCUCCGAAAUGACUGUGGACAGUCACGAGAUCCGCUGCGGGCGACAUCGUACAGAUGCACGUGCGUGAACGAGUGUGCCCGUCAUCUGUGUGGGGCAUUGCUUGUGAACCCACUUUCUUGCUCUGCAGUGGACUUAGUAUCAAGGACCCUUGUGUGUAUCCUCAUCCAGAUGAUCUGGGACUUCCAGGUCGUCUCCCCCCAGGUGUCACCCCUCAGUAGCUCCGGUGCCUUGUUGCUCGGCUUCCUCCUAUGUUCGCAGCGCUCACCACCCCAUCACACCCUUCCUGAGGAUUCCCUGGGACUAUCAAUAACCCCAAGGACCACAAUAAUGUGUUACUCAUUUAUUCAAUAAACACUUCUUGAGGCACCUUCCCUGUACCAAGCGCUGUGCUUGGUGCUAGAAUUAAUCUCACCAUGAAGCAGAGCCCAACUCUGCCCUCAAGAAGCAGAGGGUGCCUUUUCCCAGCUAAAUGGCCAGUUGAUAUUCUGUUUCCGUUUUGAAGAUUUUCCCUCUAGGCGAUUAGUUAAGAACUUAAUAAAACUCCCGAAAUGCCAUUUGUCCUGACAUGAUCUCAGCAGUGGGCACAUAUUUUUCCCUCCUUGGACCCCAGAUACUUGCCUAAGUUUUCCUCAAGCCUGAAAGAUUGGAAAACUCUAGCUCCUUCUCCUUCCAACUCCCAAGGAAAACUCUGAGCCAUAGCUACAAGCACCAUCCCGAGCACCUGCUGUGUGCACAGGGCACUGGAUGCAGUGCCUGGAGGACCAAGAGGAAGGAGUGCCAUGGGGCAUCUCCUGGAGUCCGUGGGUCUGAGCUCAACCUCUGUGGAUGCGCUUUCCAAACACUCUGGUGUAUUCUUCGAAAGGUUUCCCUAGGGACAUUGUGACUGCCCUGAAUUCAUGAGCCUCCAUCUAAGAAUUUAAUUUUGGAGAGAGUAAGGCUUUUCCUGCAUUUUUUUCAACUGUGCAAAUACUAAUAAGGUAAUACAUGCUGCAAUUAAUGAAUGAAGGAAGGAGGAAUAUAAUAAGUGUGUGGUCCUGCUUGUAUGCCAUCUGCUUUCUCAUUUCACAUUUUACAAUGCAGUUGAUUCUCACGGCAGUUUCUAAGUUAGGUGAUUUUGGUUAUUUCUUAUUAUAGAGAUGACGAAACUGAAGCCAAGUGGUUACAUUUUCCAAGGUCUCACAUUUAGUAAUUGGCGAACGAAUGAAUGCUUCUUGGGCUCCUCUGGGUUAGGGUCCUGCAUGCUCCUUCGGAAGCCCUCUGAGCUCCACCUGCCGGCCUCUUCUCAUACCUAGCCCCCAGAAGGAGUCGUUGGGGUCACCAAAGCAUUGCCCUCUGGGCAUGGGUCAAAUGGUAUAGCCGCUGUCACCUCCAUGGCCUUCUAUUCCUGGUCUGUCACCCACAGAGAACUGUGCAAAAGCAGUAGGCUCAGUAUCUGGGACUAGGUCCCAGGGCAGGGGGAGAGAGCACCUAGUGCAGUGGCUGCGGGGGAAGAGGGACGAAGCCUCGAACCCCUUGUGGUGCCCAGAACCCCACGUGUCAGCAACCACCGAGGGGAGAGGAAAAACAGCAAGGAUGAUGCCCUAUCCCAUGAGCAGGGUGUGGUCUCAACCUUAGACAUAUUAGUAAAGCUAGAGGUGGGCACAGGCUGAAGAGCAGAGUAUCAACCUUGAAGGGACACCUCUCUAGGACUACGAAGAGGAAGAGCAAGAGGACCGACCAAUGGAGCUCACAGUUCUGGAAGGCUCAGCAUCUCUUAAGCCCUUUUUAGAAAGCAAAUGAGUGUAACCAUCCAGAUGGGAACCAGCUUGGCUCCAGAGGACCCCUCCCCUUUUGCUCCUCCAGAAGCACUAACCCCACAGCCUUAUCCAAGGCCUGGCCCUCGCUCUCCAGGGGACAUUGGGCAAGUGUCAAGAACCCAGACUCCAUCACCCCAUCCUUAAAAUGAAGAAGUCCGAAGUUAUCACACUUGGGAGAACAUCUGUGCUUGUUCAUAAAAUGGCCGAAGGCAGAACCUUUAAGGGACCCAAGGGCUAACAAUUCUCUGAGCUCACCUAUCAGAGGCGCAGUCAGUGCCUGUUAGAGUCCGGGUGGGAGGAGGGGAGGGAACAGCCUAGAAAGUGCACCCUGCCCUGCAUAGCAGCCAGGAAGUCCAAGGAGCGGCCCACGGGGGGGGGGGGGGGGGAUAUGAGCUGCAAGUUUUAAUACCCACAUGCGUGGGGAGAACCCGCAGAGAAGACUGUUCAUUUGUCUUUAGGACACCAGCCAAACCCCUCACAACCCCGACAGGAAGACUGCGAGCCAGAUGCAUGCAUGAGCAGUUAAAUCGGGGUGUAUCUCCCCUAGCUGGAAUACCUGCAGUUAAAGUUCUCCAUGAACCCCAAGAGUUGGAUCUUCACAAAGACCACGGAGUGUUCAACCUCUUCCCCAAAGGCUAAAGAAGGGGGAUUGCCAGGGCCCUGCAUGUUGGGGGUCCUCUCCCCCCCAACCUCUUUAAAGUAGGGUCAUCAUGUCCUUUGGGAGAACCAGCCUUUCCUCCUCAAAGGAAGACAAAGGUGGAGGAGACAGGGGCAGAACCGGGAGGAGGGUGCAAGACCUCAGCCUCCUGCCUCUCUCCCCCACGUCCUGCUCCAGAGCUGCCCCAGCCCCCCUUCCCACCCGCACCCUGGGGGGGUGUCUGCUUGAGGUCUGCACGUGCUGGAGGGGAAGCCGCGCUCUGCUGCUCUGGUGGGAGGAUAGAUUAAAACUUGUCUGGAUAAAGCUCAAGUCUGAACCCCUCCCAAUAUCCCCCCCUGCAGGUCCUGGUUCCUGCCCUGCCCUGGGGACACUUAAAUUGCCUGGGACUGCGACCGC
rnacentral:lncRNA from 1 species